UCGUGUUGUUCACUAAUUGUCAUUGGAACAUUAAUUUAUUUUGAUAAAUCAUACCCACAAUUUAUUUCUUCAACAUUAUGAGGAUCAUUUAAAUUAUUUGUUAAUCGUGUUCACGUUUCCAGAAUUAAAUAAAACCCCAAAGGAUAAGAUUGAAGGUUAUUUUGUCUAUUAUUACCCAUCUAAUUACGUAGCUACAAAAAGUUAACAAGGAUAAUUAACCUUAAGGAACCGCAAUUGACACAAGGCUAAAAAAAGAUUGAAUCACAAUUAAGGAAAAGGAAGAGAGAAUCGAUGAAAAAAAAAUAACCUCGGAUCAUCCAGUUACUUACAAGAAAUUUAAUACUGUUUAUGCAUAAAAAGUAUAUUUUGUUUGUGGAUUAGCUUGAAAAAAGAAGGUUUUCACUUCGUCAUCAUCAUCAUCAUCGGAUUUUUGAUGCUUGACGAUCACAGAUAAUUUAAUCACAUUCAAUUCUGUCUUAAUCUACCAUCACCAGUUAACCUUUGAUUCUAAUUGAUAGACAAGCAAAAGUUGGAUUGUAGUGAGAGGAAAAUGAAAUGAUUGGGAAACAUUUUUAAUCAACAAAAUAUAACGGAAGAAGUUACAAUGAAAUAUCUUGGUGACAAUUUGAGUGUGUUAAAGUGAAAGAAUCAAUGAGAGAGAGAAAGAGACAAAAUUGAAAGUGACUGAUGAAAAUUAAAUCUUAAUCAACAAUCACCAACAACAAAUCUGAGAAAGUGUGUCCAAUGAUUUGUUGAGUAAGAGAAAAAGAAAAUUGAUUCGGAAAGUAAAAACUUCGACAAUUGUAAAUCAACAUGGAAUCAAAAUGGUUUAAAUUUAUGAUGAAAUUUAAUUCAAUUAUCUUCUGUUACAGUUAACAACACCAGGAACAUGAUAAUCUACAGCAUAUAAACAUCGGAUGAAAUUCAUUGAACCAAUCAACACAACAGAUCAACUUGAUUUUCAAGGUUACCAUGAAUGAGAAAUGACUUAAAGGUAAACCAACAAUAAUCAAAGGUAAAUCCAGAUGAUGAGAAUCGUUACCUGUCAACAAUCAAUUGGAAAAGAUGAAAUUUAACCAACUAUUCAAGCUCUCGGAAUCUAUGAACGAAGAUGAUGAUAAUUUAAAUUACAAAGAGGAAAAGAAAAGUGAUGAAAUGAUGAUGAUGAGAGUUAAAUAACCGAUAAAUAAGACGAUGAUGAUGAGGAGCAAAAAAAGGAUGGAUAAAAAUUCAUAAGCUGAUUAACUGAUUCGGAAGAAUUGAAUAGAAUGUAACAAACCUUGAAUAUCUCUUUUUUUCUUCCUUCAUUAUCUUCAACCUUUUUGAUGUGAUGAUGGUGAUGAAGAUAAAGAAAUAGGUGAGGAUGAUGAUGAAAAUUGGCCUUUGUUGAUGAUUGAAGAAGAAGAAGAAAAAAAAUUAACUCCAAAUUGUAAUCUCGUUCUUUACCUGUGAUCAUAACUGUUACAAUUUUUUUCUUUCUCUUUUAUUAUUAUGACCCUUUGGUUGAUUCUGAUUGUUACAUUUGAUAAGUGCGCUUUUCGUCCCUGUCACCAUAAUCAUCAAAUCAUCAUCCAUAUAUACUUAUUAUCAUCAUGAAACAACUACAAUUGUCAACAUCAUAAAACUUUUUCCAUCAUCAAGUAAAUCGAGGAGACGAGAAAAAAAGAAAGAAAGAAAGAAAUCUUGUAACGGACAUCAUCUUGUCUACUCUCUUUUUCAUCAUCAUCAUCAUCAUCAUCAUGAAGAUCAUCAUCAUCACCUUUCUCUCCAUUCACAGUUAUCAUGUUUCACUUGUCUCUUUCUCUUCCUCAUCACUUUUUUUACCUUGUCUUCCUUGUCUUCCCUUACCUUUCCUCCUUCAGUAGAUCUGAUCAUCAUCACCUUUUCUGUGUCUGUUGAUAUUUCAAUGGAAAGCCUAUCAUCAUCAUCAUCAUCAUCAUCAUCAUCAUCAUCAUCAUCAUACUCUUUCAUGAUUAUUAGUUUAUUUCAGCUUCUUUUAAUCUGUCUACAUCGCCUCAGGCCUUUUAAUAUGUGUAUACCUUUUUUCAGAGUGAACAUUAUUUUAUCAUUAUUAUAAGUAGUGUGAUGAUGAUCUUGAUGAUGAUUAUUAUUAUUAACAUUUACCAACUAUUAAUAUGGA